CCUACGGGAGGCAGCAGUGAGGAAUAUUGGUCAAUGGGCGAGAGCCUGAACCAGCCAAGUCGCGUGAGGGAAGACGGUCCCAUGGAUUGUAAACCUCUUUUGUCGGGGAGCAAAAAGACCUCGUGAGGCCUCAAGUGAGAUUCCCCGAAGAAAAAGCAUCGGCUAACUCCUUGCCAGCAGCCGCGGUAAUACGGGGGAUGCGAGCGUUAGUGGGAUUUUUUGGGUUUAAAGGGUGCGUAGACGGACUGGAAAGUCAGCGGUAAAAUCGAGAGGCUCAACCUCGUUCCGCCGUUGAAACUGUCGGUCUUGAGUGGGCGAGAGGUAUGCGGAAUGCGUGGUGUAGCGGUGAAAUGCAUAGAUAUCGCGCAGAACUCCGAUUGCGAAGGCAGCAUACCGGCGCCCGACUGACGCUGAGGCACGAAAGCGUGGGUAUCGAACAGGAUUAGAUACCCGAGUAGUC
rnacentral:rRNA from 1 species